rnacentral:rRNA from 1 species
AUUGGAAGGGGUGUAUUUAUUAGAUUAAAAACCAAUGCCCUUCGGGGCUCACUGGUGAUUCAUGAUAACUCCUCGAAUCGCAUGGCCUUGCGCCGGCGAUGGUUCAUUCAAAUUUCUUCCCUAUCAACUUUCGAUGUUUGGGUAUUGGCCAAACAUGGUUGCAACGGGUAACGGAGGGUUAGGGCUCGACCCCGGAGAAGGAGCCUGAGAAACGGCUACUACAUCCAAGGAAGGCAGCAGGCGCGCAAAUUACCCAAUCCCGACUCGGGGAGGUAGUGACAAUAAAUACUGAUACAGGGCUCUUUUGGGUCUUGUAAUUGGAAUGAGUACAAUUUAAAUCCCUUAACGAGGAACAAUUGGAGGGCAAGUCUGGUGCCAGCAGCCGCGGUAAUUCCAGCUCCAAUAGCGUAUAUUAAAGUUGUUGUGGUUAAAAAGCUCGUAGUUGAACCUUGGGCCUGGCUGGCCGGUCCGCCUCACCGCGUGUACUGGUCCGGCCGGGCCUUUCCCUCUGUGGAACCCCAUGCCCUUCACUGGGUGUGGCGGGGAACCAGGACUUUUAC